UCUAAUACUGAUCGGAGUGACAAGGUGGUGGUCAUAACUAUAAAAAAAAAAUCAAAACCUAAUUAGUAUAUAAAUUGAUUAAGCCUAAAGAUAUGGAUUUUAGUCUAAAGGUUCUUCUACUUUUUUAUUUGAAUUGAUAGCCUCUACCUUCAAUUCGAGGAAUUACACUAAUUUCUUAGUGGGUACUAGAAUCCACAUGGACUGCACAUGGAUCGAGUAUGGCUCGGCCAAUCCUUGUGUACUCAUGGAUAGGUUCUUAACUAAUUAUUUCAGCAAAAUAAUUUUUAGUAUUUAAUUUUACCCC
rnacentral:lncRNA from 1 species